rnacentral:rRNA from 1 species
AUUGAACGCUGGCGGCAGGCCUAACACAUGCAAGUCGAGCGAGCGGCGGACGGGUGAGUAAUGUCUGGGAAACUGCCUGAUGGAGGGGGAUAACUACUGGAAACGGUAGCUAAUACCGCAUACCAUCAGAUGUGCCCAGAUGGGAUUAGCUAGUAGGUGGGGUAAUGGCGCACCUAGGCGACGAUCCCUAGCUUGUCUGAGAGGAUGCCCAGCCACCCUGGAACCGAGACCCUGUCCAUGCUCCUACGGGAGGCAUCAUUGGGGAAUAUUGCCCAAUUGGCGCAAGCCUGAUGCAGCCCUGCCGCUUGUGUGGAGCAGGCCUUCGGGUUUUAAAGCACUUUCAGCGGGGAGGCGUUACCCGCAGAAGAAGCACCGGCUAACUCCGUGCCAGCCGCCGCGGUAAUAC